UACGGUAGGGAGCAAGCGUUUGUUCGGAUUUACUGGGCGUAAAGGGCGCGUAGGCGGCGCGGUAAGUCACUUUGUGAAAUCUCUGAGCUUAACUCAGAACGGCCAAGUGAUACUGCAGUGCUAGAGUGCAGAAAGGGCAAUCGGAAUUCUUGGUGUAGCGGUAAAAUGCGUAGAUAUCAAGAGGAACACCUGAGGCGAAGACGGGUUGCUGGGCCAACACUGACGCUGGAUGCGCGAAAGCCAGGGGAGCAAACGGG
rnacentral:rRNA from 1 species